UCAUACAUUUAUCAUUCUUUACUGGCAUUUAUAGAUCUAGAAAAUUUCAGUUUAGAUGUAGUUGUUGUUUAUCUUUAUUUGAUCUUGCCUUACUACACCUUUAGCUUGUUUUUGUAUAUAUUCCAUGAAAAUCAAAGCUAGUCAUAGAGGCGUAAAUUGAAUUUCCGGCGGUUUUCACGUGGUGCUUUAACCUCUCAAUGUUCAUGCCUCUAAAAUAAUUCGCCACAUCUCUUAUGUAUUAUACAAAUAUGGCUAUGAUUACAUAUUAUCCGCGCUUCUGAGUUUUCUGUAUGAAGUAUAUCGGAAUAAUUGGUUGAAUUUCUUGAUAUGAGCCAUCUUAUAAUUUGUAUUCCCGUUUAUUUUUUGUUAUUCUUUUAGUGAUAUUUGGCUGUGAUGAUAAUUUAUUCAGCUUUAAGCCAGUUCUGCUUCUGAAAAAUCGUGAUUGAUAGAGCUGUAAUAUAUAUUCUGAGCCUUUUCAAUUUGUUCUUUUAUUGUGUUUGCAUCAACUGUUAUUGUGAUUUAGUAUUGAGUUUUUCAAGAACUGUACUCUUUUUUUCUUCUGUGAAUUGGAUCAAGAGUCUGAAUAAACUCAAAUAUUUUUUGUUGUCUAUCAGCUUCAUCUUUUGUAUCCCACGAGUUUGGAGUUAAAUAUCAGCACCACAUUUGUUUUGAAUAUGUAUUCAAACUUUCUAAGUUUUAAUUGUUUUGCAAAUUACUUGUAAUCAAUUACUAUGUAUUAUGUUUAAUAGUGAAUUACUUUUAUAUGUUAAUGAACGUUUAGAGUAACGUAAGAAUAAGAGUGAGAGUGGUGGUUGUGAUGAUUAUAAAAAUUCCUCGUACUGAAUGUCUAUUGGCAUGACAGACACUUUACACCCAUAGAAUAUGAGCAACCACUUCGUUCUGCUAUCAAUUUUAUUUAACUAUUAAAAUUUUCAUAUAUUGCAUUUUGUUAUUUCAUUUUAAUCAUUGUGUUAUGUUAGUGUCAUUGCGUUUACAAAUGUUCCUUAAAAUGGGUAAUUUGAGUAUAAUGGAGUAAUAAGCAUACUCCCUCCGUCUCAUAAUAAGUGUCCCAUUUGCAUUUUUUCCUUGUCUCAAAUUAAUUGUCCAUUUACAAUUUCAAUGCAUCAAUCAUUAUUAUUUUUCCACUAUUAUACCCCUAUUUAUUAACUUUCACGUUAUUCAACUACUAUUAAUAGGGGUAUUCUAGUAAAUGAUAUUAACCUUUUUACUAAAACCAACACAUCCAAUCAUUUUCUUAAAAACCGCGCAUUGCUCAAAUAGGACAUUUAUUAUGAGACGGAGGGAGUACUUUGCAGAGCAUAAUUUAUAUCAUGAUUGCUUUUGCUAAGCUAACUCCUUAUAUUGAUUGCGUGGUGUUUAAAGCCCCUUUCCAAAAUUAAUUGAAUUGGGGUUACGCACACCUUCAAAUUUGUUCUGUGUGUUUAUAUCCUAUAUUUAAAUGUAUAUCAAAGCUCCAGCACUUGAACACGACAUGACAUCAUAAAAUACAGAUGCUAGAGCUGUCCGCCUGCAUUUUUGCUUGAUUAUUAACCUGGCUACACUCUCCAAUCAUCUUCACCAUGGUGAUUCCAAACUAGAAUUGAAAUGAAACUCUAAAUUUCAAAGCCGACUCGCACUAACCAGAAGCCGACUCGCACUAACCAGAUCAUCUGCAGCACUUUGUUUUUCAUUUUUUACACUUUGUUUUUCAUUUUUUACACUCCCUCUAAAGCUGCAGCAUUUUCUUUUUCACUUUUUAUACUCCACAUCAUCUUCUCUCUUUUAUUUAAUAAUUCAACACUUAUUUAACUCAUUACCCUACUUUAUCACUUUUAUUUUAUAUUUUUACUUUUAUAUUUUGUUUUUUGUGAUUAUAUAAUAAAAUAAUAAAAUAUAAUAAAGUAAGAUGAGUAUUUUGGCAAGUUUGCCAAGUGUCCAAUUUUUAAAUGCCUUGCUAUUUUAAAAUAUCCUAUUAAUAGUAAACUAUAUUUGUCUGUAAUUAUUUUUAAAUAUUUUAAUUUAUUAAUUCUUAACAACUCAAUAAUUAAUAAUUCCUUAGCAAUUAAUGAUUUUUGAUACACUUUUAUACUUUCAAAUAUUUGUAUUCAAUAUUCAAUAUUUUUGAUACAAUUCUACGCUUUCCAAUAUCUGUAUUUAAUAUUCAAUAUUUUUUUCUCAUAAAUAAAUAACCCAACAAAUAAUGACUGAAAACCCUUCAUAUAAGAUUCCAAACGCAUCGCGUUCCAAUAAACCAAUUCGGCGCCGCUUCAACUAUAAUGUCUGGAAAUCUACCCUUUGAAUUCAAUUCUCUCUUCUUCCAAUCCAUAUUGUGUUGCAAAUCUCUUCUCUUUUCCCAAUCUAUUUUCUCUUUUCCCGUUCCUAUUCAUCUCAUCAUUAAUUUCUUCUCCCAAUUCAUAUUUUACAAUGGAAUCUUGACUCCAAUUUUCUAGGUAUUCUAUAUCAAAUUAUAUUGCUUUAACAUAUAUAAAUAGGAACAAUUUCAUCGAUUUUCAAUCACACUCCUUCUGAUAAGGAGGGAUUGCUUUUUCGAUUCUUCCAAAAGGUAUAAGGAAAGGAAAUAUGAUCAAAAACAAUUGAUUGGAUCUGAUGGAAUGUUGUCUUCACAUUCAGCUAUAUGUUCUUGCUACGACGGUUGGAUUUUAUGAAGGAUUUGUUGGACUGCUUUUUGCUACUGCUUUGGUUCUAGCUAUCAUGAUAUGAUUUUUUUGUUCUAAUCAUAAAAUUCGUAAGCAUUUUGCAUAUUUUGUUUUUCGAUGUGUUUGAUUUAAUACUUGAACUAUUUCUACAAUGGAAUUUGGCAGGCAAGUUCGUUUAUGCUCAUGAUUCCUCAAUAAAUAUAUGGGAGUUAAUCUAUAAAUGGUUAAUGAGUUUGAUUUCUUAUGCAGGAUUCCAAACCAAUUUUUUUGAAAAUGGGGAGCAAUUAUUUGAGUAUGAAAAACAUAUCUUAUGCUGAUUGAAAUAUGAUACAAUAUAACUUUACUUUGUUUAAAAAAUUGGAUCAUAUAAUAUUUCAAGCAAAUGGUGGUUUCAUCUUGAAGUUGAAAUAAUUGACAAUCUGUUCUUGCAAAUGUCAAUUAGCAAAAGCCUUAUUCACCUGGUUUACCUCUCAGCUUGGCUUUCAUGUUAUCAUCACACUAACUUAGAAGUAGUUGAAGGAAUAUAAAUUAACCCUUAGUUUUCUGUAGAUGAUUCUAUAUUCUGGUAAGAGUUUGGUAAUCAAUUAGUUAUUCAAGUUGGCUUAGUAGUUUGUGCUUGAGCCUUUACACCUAUAAAGCCUAUAUAAUUUUUUUUUACGUAGGAACUUAAUGGAGCUACACAGAGCCAACACAAAAUGGAAACUCAUUAGCCUCUACAAAACCAAAUGGAUGGCAACAAAGCUUGUGUUGAUCCUGAUUGUUUUUUAGAGUCUUAAAAUAUUGUAGAGUCCAAGUUCUAGAUUUAUAGUACAAAACAUAUUUUCCUUGUGUAUUUAUAAGGAUCAAUUUGAUAGAAUUAGUGUUGUUCAUGUUAGGAUGUUUUAAACUUUUGUUGUUGAUAGCUUGGUAGAUUAACAUGUCAACUUAAUUCUUGCAGAGAGAAACUAAGAUAACUAGAGCAAGGGGAUGCACAUGAUUAUGUAAUGGAUGGUCCAUGAGAAGCAUAUCACUCACAGAAAGAUAAAAAUGUUUAUUUUAUUACCACACUGAUACAAGUAUUCUUAUUUCUCUAAAA